ACAGGCCUCUUCACUUGGCUACAGAGAUGACCAAUCUAGCUAAUGGAACACAGAGGUAUGUCCUUCGUGGGUGCAACACCAAGUUCUCCUUGGGCACUUCAAGUACUGCCACUCCUGCAUUUGUGCAAUGGGAACUAAGGGUAGACUCAAAGGAGGCACUUUCACAUCCACUAAAGGAGCCAGAAUUUGAUUUUGAAAGGCUGAUUUUCCUCUCCCCUUCUCCACCUAUCUCAUUCCGAAAAUAUGGACAGCUCAUUACAAGCUCAUUGCUUUUAUCAUCUCCCUGGUCCAUGCUGAGGCUUCCUUUGGAAUUCAGGUCCUCUGUGCUGCCCAUUGGGGAGCUAAAACUGGCUGAAUGAGACAGAGGUCCAGAGACCAAGGAUGCCACGGCAGCUGCGGAAGCUCCAGUGGUGGUGUUUCUCCUCUUAAUAACAUUGUGCCUGUUCAUAAUUGCCUCAUUCAAAUCAAAUAAUAUACUCUGGACAUCAUAGUGGGCAAAGCACUUUGGACAUGUCCAGGGCCUGACAGAGUCUUCUGAUCGGUUAUCUUCAAGAUCUGAUGACUUCCCAAGUUCUUCACCUUUGGCAUUGCGCAAUUUACGAAAAAUAGAUGAGUCUCCAGUUUCAGAUUUUGAACGUCGCUUGAGUGGUUUUUCCCUUUCCUUAAAAAGCCUGAGGUUCUCUCUCUGUGAGAUAGGCCCGUCUAUUACAUCCAAAGAGAAACCAGAACCCUUGCCACCACCAGUAAUGAGAAAGUCACUGAGCUUGGUUGGAGUUGGACCUCGAUCAGAUUUGUCAUCUUUGUAGCCCUUUAACAAAUCAAAAAAGCUUUCUCCAGAUGUUCCCUGUUUAUCAAUUGAAGAUGUGCUACCAUAUUCCCUGUGCAGUGAUGGUCCAGUCUUGUAUGUAGGUGAGAUACAUUCAUCAAAGCUAUCCACAUCAAGUUCACUUAUGGUGAUAUCACUGUUGCUUCGCUGGCGUAUUCUGCGAAGAGCUUUUCUGGGGGAGCUGGGGUAGGCUUCAGGCAUGAGAAAUCUGGAGUCCAUGUUCUCCGACGGUCUUGUCUUGUUUUUCAGCGUGUUCUGUAUGCUUUUCAGCAUGGCUGAGUCAUUGGAAUUGAGGCUAACAGAACUUCCCUGACUCACAGGACUGCUUUUGGAGGACAGGCUAUCAAGGCAACUUGAGGUUUCUAUUUCCUGGCUUGAACGGCUAGAUUCUUUUAUGUUUUCCUUUCUUGGGGGCCAAUCUGCAAUCCUUGCCCUUACCCCCAUUUUUGGGACUCCGGGGGUUGAGGUUAUAUGGUGAGAACCUUCACUUCGGGGGGGUCCUACAGGAGCCAUAACUGAUGAUCCUAAGCUGCCAUUUUGGGACCGGAAGCGCCGCAUGUAGAAAUCAUCAGUGUGGACUUUGGGGGUGCCGUCUGUGCCAACAACAGAGGCCCUGUCAGUGGCAAGAGGCCUUUCUGUCUGUGACCGUUUCAAGCUGGUCAUGAUGUAAAAGCAAGUAGACUUAAAUCCCUGCAGCAAGGACCAUCAUAUCUGUGUUUUAAAUGUGCACUUCCCUUUUGGAGAAUGGCUUCCAGAAAAUACAACAGUUGCAUGAGAUCUUAAUCUUUUUCAUUUAAAAGGUUAAAUGAUGCUUUAUUUGUAAAGCACUGAAAAAUUGGAACUUCUAAACGUUAUAAUCCACAACAGUUUCUUUGCUUCACUUUAACAGAGGGCUUUCUUUCAGAAAAAACUGAAUGGAACUUGUACUACUGAGAUUCUGUGGUUGCCAUAAUCCCAUGCUUUCUCUAAAAGAGAAAAGGAUAAUUUGAAUUAGCAGAUAAAUACAUCUAAAAACAAACAUGCAAUUGUCAAAACCAGACACAUGAAGAUAAAAGACUCAAUAAUGGAUUAGGAUUCACAGUUCCACAAUCCGUAUUUUUAGUAAAGCAGGUUUGAAAGAAAGGAAGAAAGUAAAAACCAUUUGAUAAAAUCCAUAAUUUAUAUUCUAAAAAAAAAAACUAUUAAGACUUCAUCUUAAUUGAACUGUUUCAUAAAAUGGGGGGCAGGGGGAGGGGUACAUCUUGUUCUGGAUAUCAUGGCUCCUACCCAAAGUACAGACUUUUGCUCCAAUGACCUCUAAAAAUGUAGAACAUCAUGAGCUACUGUGAUGACCAGAAGUUUGAGAUGUAACCAAGUGAAUAAGAUAAUUAGAGCAACAGAGUUUUUUGACAAAAGUAAAAACUGAAAAAUGACUUUACUGAAUAUGCUGCAACAAUCACUUUUUAACUCCUCUAUUCCAAAAUCAAUACAUGUUUUUUGUUUCCUUACAAAGGCUUAACAUAGUUGGCAAAAACAAAUACAGCAGGAAAAAAUAAAUAAAAAGAGUUUUCCCAGAGCCAUUAUAUCCAUUAGCACUCUUUUGUAUUUUCCUCUACUUUAUUACUUACCGAGACGAGGAUAUUGCAGAAUGAAUCCAGCAUUCACCACCACCUCUUCCCAAGCUCUCCUUAGUUUCUUGUACUCUUAAAAGCUAGAAGUAUCUCACUAAUGAACAAAAUGCCUGCAUUUCCUCAUGCAGUACAACCUACUCCACCCCAUCAGUGCUAAUUUAUGAAGACGGCAGAAACAAAACACAGCUCUGGGUGGCCCUCUCCAUAUCCCCAACAGAUUACAGAGAACUGUUAGCAUCCUUCCAGGUGACGGGCAUGGAAACAAACUUCCUCAUGAGCACGUCAGGCAGAAGGCAGGAGACACAGAUUCUGAGUACAAAAUUCUGCAUGGUUGCGUACAUUCUGAAAAGAAAGGCAGAGGCUCCUUUUCCAAGACUCCACAAAUUACACAAGAGGUGGCCUUUAAAUUCUUGCCAAAUACAUGUUUGGAAAGAUGCUGCUGAACCAGCACUGAGCUGACAGGGCGGCAUUGUCUACAAAUCACGGCUCUGACACCGGAGGACGACCUGCACUUGCUGCACUCUCCACUCAAUGGUAACAAGCACCUACUUCCACGAUAAUUAAGCAUCUCCCUAGUCGGCUUCCUGCCUCCAAGGCAGGCGCUUUCAUUUCUCUUGCAGCACACAGCAUCACUUUAGAAGACUCGCUGCUAUUUAA
ensembl:lncRNA novel transcript, antisense to SIPA1L1